UGUCAUAAGAUUUCCCAAAAAUCAAUCUCAAUGAAGAGGGUGUUGAAAUCAAGGAAACAUUUGAGGGCAUUCCAUAACUUUUUCCCUUUGAAGCAAUAUCACAGACAACUUUCCAUCCAAAGUCAACAAAAUUGAAACCCAUUUUUGAGAGUUGUUGGUGCCUCAUCCUAUAAUUGACGACAACGUUAGGAAAUCCAGAGACGUCGUCGGGGGCCUCGGGAAGAGUUAUCUUUUAUUUUUAACAACUUUCCCACCAUGAAAUCAGCUCAACCGGAGAUAGGGUCCAACAACUGGAAGAUCAUCGCAUGUCUUGUGGUGUCCAGUGUGCCCUCAGUGGCCCUUGAAAAUAUGGAGGAUCGAGUACUGUCCAUACCUGAUCAUACUCAUAACCGCAUCAAGUCUCCAAGGUGAACAACCUCU
rnacentral:ncRNA from 1 species